AUUGAACGCUGGCGGCAGGCCUAACACAUGCAAGUCGAACGAGUGGCGGACGGGUGAGUAAUGUCUGGGAAACUGCCCGAUGGAGGGGGAUAACUACUGGAAACGGUAGCUAAUACCGCAUACCAUCGGAUGUGCCCAGAUGGGAUUAGCUUGUGGGUGGGGUAAUGGCUCACCUUGGCGACGUACCCUAGCUGGUCUGAGAGGAUGACCAGCCACGCUGGACCGGAGACACGGUCCAGACUCCAACGGGAGGCAGAGGUGGGGAAUAUUGGAAAAUGGGCGCAAGCCGGAUGCAGACAUGCCGCGGGUAUGAAGAAGGCCUUCGGGUGGUAAAGUACUUUCAGCGGGGAGGCGUUACCCGCAGAAGAAGCACCGGCUAACUCCGUGCCAGCAGCCGCGGUAAUAC
rnacentral:rRNA from 1 species